CAUUAGUUAGUGACCUUGCACACUAGACACAACUUAGCAAAAAACUUUUCUGUAACAUCAAUGUUGUCAUUCACGUAAAUUAGUAUCACAUUGCCAGAUAUGCACGUUGUUUGACGAUUUAUGAGCUGAAAUGAGAUGUGCCACAAUUUGGUAUGUACAUGCUGCCGCUAAGUUGUGGUUUGAUUUGAUAUUUGUGGAAGUUUUGCAAUGAUUUGAUAUUUUUAUCUCACCCACACAUUUGGUAUCAUCAAAUUACUGCUAUAAUCUGCAGUCAGUCACAUCCUACAUCAUUGAAUGUUCUCCAAAUUGAUUACAAUGCCAAUGCCUCAUUGUAUCUGUUUUCAAAUAAUUGACAUCUUUCUUUCUGUAUCUGUUUUCGAAUAAUUGACAUCUUUCUUUCUGUUGGUCCAAUACUCAUGAAGAAUUUAUAAUGAAUGUCAAGGAAAGUGACAGUGAUUGUUGGAGAUGUAUGUUUUUCUCUGUUAUUACUUUCUUUGUGUUGUAUUUUGAAUCCUAAACACAUGAACUCACAGCAUCUUUCCUUUCCUUUUCUUCUAAUAUAAUUAACGUCCAACUACUAUUCUCGUUUGUUUCCUCCAGAUAGAAAUGAUAUGGCAUGAUGCUGCAGAUACUUCUGGUUUUUCAAAUUUUAGGAAAGGAUCCACAGACACAACCAAGUGGCCUCAGUGGAAGUGACGACGGUUAUGUGUUAUUUAACUGCUAACAUAUCAAAGAGAAAGGUUUCCUAGCUAGCUAGCAGCUAUUCUCUUCCUUCCUCUUUGCUUUCCUUCAUCUUCCUUCCUUGUCUACUUUGACUCCUCGCAAUCUUGCUAGGGUUUAGGCCAUGUCUUUUUGCGCAUUACGUACAGUGAAUGCUGUUGAUUAUCCAUUUGAAAACCUAUUGCUUUAUUCUUGUUGGGUAGGGAUGUUGAUGAUAUGGUGGAGGCUUCUAGUUAUUACAUAUGAGCUUCCAUUUCAUUCCGUACGUCCUUCAUCACUUCACUUGGGUAGGCCUAUUAAUCUUCUGGGCAACUUUAUAAUGAACCCAAUAACUCGCCCAGCCUUUUAAACCCUUGCUUGUUGCCCCUCGUAACUCCCCACAAGCUUUAAUAAUCCCUUUAUGUGUUUGAAGAAAUAGGAAAUCAUGUUUUUGAUUGCUGAGUAGUGGAAUAGAAUGGAUAUUACCAAUUCAAAUAUCCAGAUGGCCGAGCGUGAACUAGGUUAUUUUCCUUCUUAAGACUAUAUCAUUUUGGUUUCCUUUGAGUAUAUGUCUUUUUUUUUUGGGACUUUUGUCAUCUGCUUGUAUCAUUGUGCUUUCUUCACUUGUUUAGAUCAAGUAUUAUGUUGACAAGUGUGAGAUCUUUUCAAUAUGUUGAGAAAUGUGAGAUAAACUUUUUUAUAUUCCUGUUUGCUCGAUGAGACGCACAGCUUGUGCAGCCAUUGAAUCAUCUAAGCUUAUGCAAGACAAGCACAGGGAAAUACCAUCUUAUUCGAGGGUCUGCUUAUAGAUAAAGAAUUUGGUUUGUCUCAAAUUAUGGAGAAGAUUUUUCUUCUGCCCGUUGGGAUUGUAUUGUUACAGCUUGUGGUUCAUUGCUCUGGUACUGAAUUCAAGGUUUUUGUUUAAAGCUUUGGCUGGCUUGACACUUCAAAUACGAAGAGAAGAGUCAUUGCAACGAACUUGUUUAAACCCUUCGUAUAUUUUUAUAGUUUUAAAAAAUUAUAAAUUUUACAAAAAUGCAAUAAAAUA